rnacentral:tRNA from 1 species
GGUGACGUAGCGAAAUGGCAAACGCACUGGAUUUGAAAUCCAGGUCCCUUCGGGGGCAUGCAGGUUCGAAUCCUGCCGUCACCG